GACGAACGCUGGCGGCGUGCUUAACACAUGCAAGUCGUACGGUAAGGCCCUUUCGGGGGUACACGAGUGGCGAACGGGUGAGUAACACGUGAGUAACCUGCCCACAACUUUGGGAUAACGCUAGGAAACUGGUGCUAAUACUGGAUAUGUGCUCCUUCUGCAUGGUGGGGGUUGGAAAGCUCCGGCGGUUGUGGAUGGACUCGCGGCCUAUCAGCUUGUUGGUGGGGUAGUGGCCUACCAAGGCGGCGACGGGUAGCCGGCCUGAGAGGGUGACCGGCCAAAUUGGGACUGGGAUACGGCCCAGAAUCCUACGGGAGGCAAGAGUGGGGGAUAUUGCACAAUGGGCGCAAGCCUGAUGCAGCAACGCCGCGUGCGGGAUGACGGCCUUCGGGUUGUAAACCGCUUUCAGCAGGGAAGAAGCUUUUUGUGACGGUACCUGCAGAAGAAGCACCGGCUAACUACGUG
rnacentral:rRNA from 1 species